rnacentral:rRNA from 1 species
AUAUCAAUAAGCGGAGGAAAAGAAACCAACAGGGAUUACCUUAGUAACGGCGAGUGAAGCGGUAACAGCUCAAAUUUGGAAUCUGGCUCUUUCAGGGUCCGAGUUGUAAUUUGUAGAAGAUGCUUCGGGUGUGGCUCCGGUCUAAGUUCCUUGGAACAGGACGUCAUAGAGGGUGAGAAUCCCGUACGUGACUGGGUGCCUAUGCUCAUGUGAAGCUCUUUCGACGAGUCGAGUUGUUUGGGAAUGCAGCUCAAAAUGGGUGGUAAAUUUCAUCUAAAGCUAAAUAUUGGCCAGAGACCGAUAGCGCACAAGUAGAGUGAUCGAAAGAUGAAAAGCACUUUGGAAAGAGAGUUAAACAGUAC